UACGGGGGGGGGCAAGCGUUGUUCGGAAUUACUGGGCGUAAAGGGCUCGUAGGUGGCCAACUAAGUCAGACGUGAAAUCCCUCAGCUUAACUGGGGAACUGCGUCUGAUACUGGAUGGCUUGAGUUUGGGAGAGGGAUGCGGAAUUCCAGGUGUAGCGGUGAAAUGCGUAGAUAUCUGGAGGAACACCGGUGGCGAAGGCGGCUCACUGGACCGGCAUUGACGCUGAGGUGCGAAAGCGUGGGGGAGCAAACAGG
rnacentral:rRNA from 1 species